UUAUUAAAAACUUAAUGAAUAUUACCUAAUAGUGGGUUACCUCCCACUCAGCGCUUUGUUAUAGUCAUUUAGCUUGACUUUGGAGGUGAUUUGGCUAAUAAUGUUGAGACCUGGGACUUGUUGGAAAACAAGUAUACAACUCUUCUUUGCGCUUGUUGAACCAUGUACUAGUGAAGCCUCUCAUAGCUUCAUCCCAUCUACGCCAUUUUUCUUUCACUGUUGCAGUUGUGUUUUCCAUCCUCUGCAAUCUAUCUUCAAGACUCUCCAGGUUGAACUGAUGUCUCCUAAGUGUGGCGUAAGUCUCAGCUGAGAUCUCCUCUCCAUGGUAAUGUGUGUCAGACAUGUCUAAUAUCAUCUUUGGUACUAGCUGGCCUCGGUUUGUAGCAUCGUCGACUGAUGUUCGAUGGUGAAUGUCGGUCGAUAUGUUGUUGCAUAUGUCGAUUGAUAACGAUGCUUCUGGUCAACGGGCAAUGUAACUCUGAAUCUCCACCAAUUCCCCUUGUAUAGCU
rnacentral:lncRNA from 1 species